rnacentral:rRNA from 1 species
AACGAACGCUGGCGGCGUGCUUAAGACAUGCAAGUCGUACGGUAAGGCACCUUCGGGUGUACACGAGUGGCGCACGGGUGAGUAACGCGUGGGUAAUCUGCCCUCGGGUUGGGGACAACCCCGGGAACUGGGGCUAAUACCGAAUAAGACCACGAGAUCCACGGAUCUCGCGGAAAAAGGUGGCCUCUCCUUGGAAGCUACCGCCUGAGGAUGAGCCCGCGUCCCAUUAGCUUGUUGGUGAGGUAACGGCUCACCAAGGCGUCGAUGGGUAGCUGGUCUGAGAGGAUGAUCAGCCACACUGGAACUGAGACACGGUCCAGACUCCUACGGGAGGCUG